rnacentral:rRNA from 1 species
UACGGAGGGUGCGAGCGUUGUCCGGAAUCAUUGGGCGUAAAGGGCGCGUAGGUGGCCCGGUCAGUUCGUGGUGAAAGCGCGGGGCUCAACCCUGCGUCGGCCAUGAAUACUGCCGCGGCUGGAGCACUGUAGAGGCAGGCGGAAUUCCGGGUGUAGCGGUGGAAUGCGUAGAGAUCAGGAAGAACACCCGUGGCGAAAGCGGCUCUCUGGAACGGUACUGACGCUGAGACGCGAAAGCGUGGGGAGCGAACAGG